rnacentral:rRNA from 1 species
AACGAACGCUGGCGGCGUGCUUGACACAUGCAAGUCAAACGCGAAAGGGACUUCGGUCCUGAGUAAAGUGGCGCACGGGUGAGUAACGCGUAGAUAACCUGUCUUCACGUCUGGAAUAAUACGCCGAAAGGGGUACUAAUACCGGAUAUUCUUGCUUUUCAUAAGUAUUGCAAGGAAAGGUGGCCUCUGUAUAUGCUACUGCGGGAAGAGGGGUCUGCGUACCAUUAGCUAGUAGGUGGGGUAAUGGCCUACCUAGGCAACGAUGGGUAGCGGGUCGGAGGGGAUGAGCCAGCACACUUGAACUCGAACACCGGCCAGAUGCCUACUGGAGGCAGCAGUGAGGAAGAUUGCGCAAUGUGGGAAACCCUGACGCAGCGACGCCGCGUGAGUGAGGAAGGCCUUCGGGUCGUAAAGCUCUGUCAAAGGGAAAGAAGUGCAUGGUGGCGAAUACCUGCCAUGUUUGACGGUACCCUUAAAGGAAGCACCGGCUAACUCCGUGCCAGCCGCCGCGGUAAAAC